rnacentral:rRNA from 1 species
UACGGGGGGUGCGAGCGUUAUUCGGAAUCAUUGGGCGUAAAGGGCGCGUAGGCGGUCUCUUAAGUCAGGUGUGAAAGCCUUCCGCUUAACGGAAGAAGUGCACUUGAAACUAAAGGACUUGAGUAUGGGAGAGGGAAGUGGAAUUCCUGGUGUAGCGGUGAAAUGCGUAGAUAUCAGGAGGAACACCGGUGGCGAAGGCGACUUCCUGGACCAAUACUGACGCUGAGGCGCGAAGGCGUGGGGAGCAAACAGGAUUAGAUACCCGCGUA